AUACAGAGGGUGCGAGCGUUAAUCGGAAUUACUGGGCGUAAAGCGCGCGUAGGCGGUCUAUUAAGUCAGAUGUGAAAUCCCAGGGCUCAACCUUGGAACUGCAUCUGAUACUGGUAGACUAGAGCUUUGGAGGGGGAAGUAGAAUUUCAGGUGUAGCGGUGAAAUGCAUAGAGAUCUGAAGGAAUACCAGUGGCGAAGGCGACUUCCUGGCCAAAAACUGACGCUGAGGUGCGAAAGCGUGGGUAGCAAACGGGAUUAGAAACCCGAGUAGUCC
rnacentral:rRNA from 1 species